GAGGGUAUAGCUCAGUAGUAGAGUGCAUGCUUAGCAUGCGUGAGGUCCUGGGUUCAAUCCCCAGUACCUCCA
rnacentral:tRNA from 1 species